CAAAUACAAUAAUAUCUAAACACACACAGCAUCUAGAAAUUACAAAAAGGAAAAAGGAAAUCCUCGGGAACAGUGCUGCACAGCCUUGGUGCCAUCUGAACCGUGGCGGCGCGUGGACCUCACGCACCUCCGCCAACGGAGGCGCGUGGGUGCACGCGCCGCCCAGAAAAAAAUCGUGGGCAGGGGGUUGUGCUAAUCUCCUUCCCUCUUCCCUUCCUUGUCGUCGGUGGGAAACAAAAAUCACCUGCAAACACACAAAAAACGCAGCAACAGUCUGUUUUAAAUUUUUUCUUUAUUUCAAAAUCUGCUUCGUUUUUUCUUCUUUUUGGCAGAUCUGUUCCCGGUGCUCUGCCUCCUUCCUUCUCUGUCUCCGGCGACCGAUUAGUCUUCUUCUCCUUUGUUUCGGGUUGUAGAUCGGGCGGCGAGGUUGUCCUGGUUGCGAGGAGAGCGAUGGCCAGCGGAGGGGCGCGUCCGGCUGCUGUGGCGACCGUCGCUGCUAAGGAGAUCGAAGAAGAAGAUGCUGCCGAGAGAGAGGCUUCAGUGUUGAUGGGUCCGGCGGGAUGGAGACGAAGGGGCUGUCUUGGGUUUUUUAUGGCUGAAGAGGGUGAGGGAAAAAGUGGCCGAGAGGGAGAGAAAGGGGUUGUGAGCGGGGAAGAUUUGGUGUUGAUGAGAGGAAGAUCGGCGUUGUGGGUGGUGCUGGUUUGGGGAAGAAAAGAAAAUGAAAACGGGGAGGGGGUUGUUCGGUUUUGAAGGAGAAGGGAGAGGAUUCUUGUGGCUUCCCUGUGCAGGCCUUGGAUUUUGGUUGAAGGGGAAGAAGAUGGGGGGGAAAAACCGGCUGAGAUUGAGCUGAAAAUCAGGGGGUUGUGGGAGUAAAAAAAAAAAUUUCAAACCGGGGAAGGGGGCUGGUUCCGGUGUUGAAAGAAAAACAAAAAUGUCAAGGGCGGGGGCGGCUGCCUUGAUUUUCUGAUGGUGGCUGCCCGGGAGAAAAAA
rnacentral:lncRNA from 1 species